UUGAAAGACUGGAUAACGCUAGAAAACAGAGACAUCUUGGAUCUUGAAGGCUUCGAUAACAGGUACGGGUGGCACUCGUACCUGUGGUAUGAAAAGGUGAAAGUACAUAGAGGCUUUUUAAACCAUAUUUUUAGAGGGCCAAUAUUCCAAGUAUGGGAAAGAAAUAAAAACCUAUUGGAAAGGAAGACACCCUGGUGGAUCUCACCAACAGAGGUGUUAACGGUCAAAAAAGUUAAUAUGGAAGGGAAGAAUCCUACCUAUGAAGAACUGACUAGGAAAACGGAUCAAGGUAUAAAACUUAGACCCUAUGAAGAGAUUAAAAACUCAUUUACUGGGUGGUUGCAAUACCACCAGGUAAAUGACCUGU